AUUGAACGCUGGCGGCAGGCCUAACACAUGCAAGUCGAGCGGAUGAAGGGAGCUUGCUCCUGGAUUCAGCGGCGGACGGGUGAGUAAUGCCUAGGAAUCUGCCUGGUAGUGGGGGAUAACGUCCGGAAACGGGCGCUAAUACCGCAUACGUCCUGAGGGAGAAAGUGGGGGAUCUUCGGACCUCACGCUAUCAGAUGAGCCUAGGUCGGAUUAGCUAGUUGGUGGGGUAAAGGCCUACCAAGGCGACGAUCCGUAACUGGUCUGAGAGGAUGAUCAGUCACACUGGAACUGAGACACGGUCCAGACUCCCACGGGAGGCAGCAGUGGGGAAUAUUGCACAAUGGGCGAAAGCCUGAUCCAGCCAUGCCGCGUGUGUGAAGAAGGUCUUCGGAUUGUAAAGCACUUUAAGUUGGGAGGAAGGGCAGUAAGUUAAUACCUUGCUGUUUUGACGUUACCAACAGAAUAAGCACCGGCUAACUUCGU
rnacentral:rRNA from 1 species